rnacentral:rRNA from 1 species
AGCAGUCGCCACGGUAAAACAGAGGGUGCGAGCGUUAAUCGGAUUUACUGGGCGUAAAGCGUGCGUAGGCGGCUUCUUAAGUCGGAUGUGAAAUCCCUGAGCUUAACUUAGGAAUUGCAUUCGAUACUGGGAAGCUAGAGUAUGGGAGAGGAUGGUAGAAUUCCAGGUGUAGCGGUGAAAUGCGUAGAGAUCUGGAGGAAUACCGAUGGCGAAGGCAGCCAUCUGGCCUAAUACUGACGCUGAGGUACGAAAGCAUGGGGAGCAAACAGGAUUAGAUACCCCCGUAGUCCCUGUCUCUUAUAC